UGCCAGCAGCCGCGGUAACACGUAAGGGGCAAGCGCUGUCCGGAAUCACUGGGCGUAAAGGGAGCGUAGGUGGCGAGAUAAGUCAGAUGUGAAAGUUUGCGGCUCAACCGUAAAAUUGCAUUUGAUACUGUUUUGCUAGAGUAUCGGAGAGGAAAGCGGAAUUCCUGGUGUAGCGGUGAAAUGCGCAGAGAUCAGGAAGAACACCAAUGGCGAAGGCAGCUUUCUGGACGAUAACUGACGCUGAGGCUCGAAAGCGUGGGGAGCGAACAGGAUUAGAUA
rnacentral:rRNA from 1 species